rnacentral:rRNA from 1 species
UAACGGGGAAAGAACUUACCAAAUCUUGACAUCCUUUGACAACUCUAGAGAUAGAGCUUUCCCCUUCGGGGGACAAAGUGACAGGUGGUGCAUGGUGGUCGUCAGCUCGUGUCGUGAGAUGUUGGGUUAAGUCCCGCAACGAGCGCAACCCUUAAGCUUAGUUGCCAUCAUUAAGUUGGGCACUCUAAGUUGACUGCCGGUGACAAACCGGAGGAAGGUGGGGAUGACGUCAAAUCAUCAUGCCCCUUAUGAUUUGGGCUACACACGUGCUACAAUGGACAAUACAAAGGGCAGCGAAACCGCGAGGUCAAGCAAAUCCCAUAAAGUUGUUCUCAGUUCGGAUUGUAGUCUGCAACUCGACUACAUGAAGUGGGAAUCGCUAGUAGUCGUGGAACUGCUU